AACUGCGCUAAGUAGUGUGAAUUGCAUUUAGUGAAUCAUCGAAUCUUUGAACGCACCCUGCACUCACUGGUAUUCCGGUGAGUACGCCUGUUUCAGUAUCAUUGAAAACACACAAUCAAAACAUUUUCUUUGGUUUGAUUGGCUUUGGGUCUAUCAAAAAGUUUGGCUUGUUUCUUACAAGCCAAGCGGCCUGAAAUAUAUUGUCUGGCUAAUUGCAUCGUUGAUGAUCGCUAUUAGACUUUGGCUUUUUUAAAUGAACUGGAGGUUGAUUAACCAGUUUUAGCUUUAGUCAAAUGGUCAUUGUAAAAAAAAUCUCGAUCUUGGCUAGGUGUUUAUAGCCGAAAAUUUUUUUUUGGCUAUAACCGAAACCAAUAUAAUCACAUUUAGUUAUCGAUCUGAAAUCAGGUGGGACUACCCGCUGAACUUAAGC
rnacentral:misc_RNA from 1 species